GUAUCGCAUCUAGGCCAAUUUUAUUGUCAAGAAGAGGGAGAUAGGUAAUUAUGGAACGUUUCUAAAGCUGUAUUUGUAUUUUGACGGUCUGUGGCUAAGGCUGGAGAGUGGUGAAGAAUAAUCCUCCAACAGAAAUGUCUGCAAGAUUGUUCAAAACAUUGUUUUCUUUUUUAUUUUGAUUUAAGACUCUUCAAUUGACAUAAUUACAGGAAAUAGAUGUUCAUUAAAUGAAUCAAGCCAUGAGUUUGGGAAGUGAACUACUAUAGAGUGAUCAGUGAAUGGAUAUGUUGGACUUUGUGCAUAGUUGUGCGAAGUGGUGAAGUAACUUGGCUUGAAUUUAGAUUCAUCCCUACUCUCCUAAUUUCUAAAAAGUUCUUAAAUUUUCUUCCAGAUUGUACUGUGUUCACGUUGCAAGGAUGGAUUGCGAGUUGGUUGGAUUAGUGGAAACAUUUGCCUACAAAGUGUUGCAUGUUGUUAAGCACUGCUGGCAAUGCUUAUGGUAUGUGCUGUGUUGGACUUUGUGCAUAGUUGUGCGAAGUGUUGAAGCAACGUUGCUUAAAUUCAGACUCAUCCCUAGUCUGCUAAUUUUUCAAAAGGUUUAAGUUUCUUCAAUUUUCUUCCUGUUUGUACUGUGUUCAUGUUCGAAGGAUGGGUUGUGAGCUGGUUGGAUUAGUGGAAACAUUUGCCUGCAGAGUGUUGCAUGUUGUUUAGCACUAGUAUUAUUUGCUAGCAGUGCCUAUGGUUAAUUGUUGCUUGUGCAAUUUCAGAAAAAAAUAUAUAGAACUUGAUUAAUUA
rnacentral:lncRNA from 1 species